UGGGGUGACUGCGUACCUUUUGUAUAAUGGGUCAGCGACUUAUAUUCUGUAGCAAGGUUAACCGCAUAGGGGAGCCGGAGGGAAACCGAGUCUUAACCGGGCGUUAAGUUGCAGGGUAUAGACCCGAAACCCGGUGAUCUAGCCAUGGGCAGGUUGAAGGUUGGGUAACACUAACUGGAGGACCGAACCGACUAAUGUUGAAAAAUUAGCGGAUGACCUGUGGCUGGGGGUGAAAGGCCAAUCAAACCGGGAGAUAGCUGGUUCUCCCCGAAAGCUAUUUAGGUAGCGCCUCGUGAAUUCAUCUCCGGGGGUAGAGCACUGUUUCGGCCAGGGGGCCAUCCCGGCUUACCAAUCCGAUGCAAACUGCGAAUACCGGAGAAUGUUAUCACGGGAGACACACGGCGGGUGCUAACGUCCGUCGUGAAGAGGGAAACAACCCAGACCGCCAGCUAAGGUCCCAAAGUCAUGGUUAAGUGGGAAACGAUGUGGGAAGGCCCAGACAGCCAGGAUGUUGGCUUAGAAGCAGCCAUCAUUUAAAGAAAGCGUAAUAGCUCACUGGUCGAGUCGGCCUGCGCGGAAGAUGUAACGGGGCUAAACCAUGCACCGAAGCUGCGGCAGCGAACGUAUCACCCAAGACAACUUUACACAGUUGACGCCUGACGGAGCGAAGCGACGUCAAAGCGUUUUACAACGUCGAGUUGGCUUAGGGAUACGUUCGUUGGGUAGGGGAGCGUUCUGUAAGCCGUUGAAGGUGUGUCGUGAGGCAUGCUGGAGGUAUCAGAAGUGCGAAUGCUGACAUAAGUAACGAUAAAGCGGGUGAAAAGCCCGCUCGCCGGAAGACCAAGGGUUCCUGUCCAACGUUAAUCGGGGCAGGGUGAGUCGACCCCUAAGGCGAGGCCGAAAGGCGUAGUCGAUGGGAAACGGGUUAAUAUUCCCGUACUUGGUGUUACUGCGAAGGGGGGACGGAGAAGGCUAUGUUGGCCGGGCGACGGUUGUCCCGGUUUAAGCGUGUAGGUGUGUGUUCCAGGUAAAUCCGGUUCACUUUAACACUGAGGCGUGAUGACGAGGCACCACGGUGCUGAAGCAACAAAUGCCCUGCUUCCAGGAAAAGCCUCUAAGCCUCAGGUAACAUCAAAUCGUACCCCAAACCGACACAGGUGGUCAGGUAGAGAAUACCAAGGCGCUUGAGAGAACUCGGGUGAAGGAACUAGGCAAAAUGGUGCCGUAACUUCGGGAGAAGGCACGCUGACACGUAGGUGAAGUGGUUUACCCAUGGAGCUGAAGUCAGUCGAAGAUACCAGCUGGCUGCAACUGUUUAUUAAAAACACAGCACUGUGCAAACACGAAAGUGGACGUAUACGGUGUGACGCCUGCCCGGUGCCGGAAGGUUAAUUGAUGGGGUCAGCGCAAGCGAAGCUCCUGAUCGAAGCCCCGGUAAACGGCGGCCGUAACUAUAACGGUCCUAAGGUAGCGAAAUUCCUUGUCGGGUAAGUUCCGACCUGCACGAAUGGCGUAAUGAUGGCCAGGCUGUCUCCACCCGGGACUCAGUGAAAUUGAACUCGCUGUGAAGAUGCAGUGUACCCGCGGCAAGACGGAAAGACCCCGUGAACCUUUACUAUAGCUUGACACUGAACACUGGUCCUUGAUGUGCAGGAUAGGUGGGAGGCUUUGAAGUGUGGACGCCAGUCUGCAUGGAGCCAUCCUUGAAAUACCACCCUUUAAUGGCUGGUGUUCUAACGUGGGCCCGUGAACCGGGUUGCGGACAGUGUCUGGUGGGUAGUUUGACUGGGGCGGUCUCCUCCUAAAGAGUAACGGAGGAGCACGAAGGUUGGCUAAUCCUGGUCGGACAUCAGGAGGUUAGUGCAAUGGCAUAAGCCAGCUUGACUGCGAGCGUGACGGCGCGAGCAGGUGCGAAAGCAGGUCAUAGUGAUCCGGUGGUUCUGAAUGGAAGGGCCAUCGCUCAACGGAUAAAAGGUACUCCGGGGAUAACAGGCUGAUACCGCCCAAGAGUUCAUAUCGACGGCGGUGUUUGGCACCUCGAUGUCGGCUCAUCACAUCCUGGGGCUGAAGUAGGUCCCAAGGGUAUGGCUGUUCGCCAUUUAAAGUGGUACGCGAGCUGGGUUUAGAACGUCGUGAGACAGUUCGGUCCCUAUCUGCCGUGGGCGCUGGAAGAUUGAGGGGGGCUGCUCCUAGUACGAGAGGACCGGAGUGGACGCAUCACUGGUGUUCGGGUUGUCAUGCCAAUGGCACUGCCCGGUAGCUACAUGCGGAAGAGAUAAGUGCUGAAAGCAUCUAAGCACGAAACUUGCCCCGAGAUGAAUCUUCCCUGAGCCUUUAAGGCUCCUGAAGGAACGUUGAAGACGACGACGUUGAUAGGCCGGGUGUGUAAGCGCAGCGAUGCGUUGAGCUAACCGGUACUAAUGAACCGUGAGGCUUAACCUUACA
rnacentral:rRNA from 1 species